CCGACCGGGUGGAGUAACAACGUAUGCAAUACCACCCUCGUAACAAGGGGGAGUAACCCACGGAAAUACCGGACUAAUACCCCAUAAUAUGGGGGCUCCGCAUGGAGAGUCCAUUAAAGAAGAGCAAUCUUGGUUACAGACGAGCAUGCGCUCCAUUAGCCAGUUGGCGGGGUAACGGCCCACCAAGGCGACGAUGGAUAGGGGUUCUGAGAGGAAGGUCCCCCACAUUGGAACUGAGACACGGUCCAA
rnacentral:rRNA from 1 species